AUGGCGGCCUUCUCGUCCUCGGAGGGAGCUCACACACGGAGGGACCGCGACUUCUUACGCGCCCUGACAGUGUCCCAGCAGCGGAGCUGCUGCGCCCUGCGCACAACCAAUCGGUUUUUCAUCGCCGCGUCCUUAUUGUACAGAGUGCAGGCCGAGGCGCUCGGCGGCUUCCAUAGAAGGACGCAGUGUUUCCGACGAGGCCCUGCACACCCGCCCCGAGCAGCAGCGGACACCGGGCGGCACCGCCGGACCACACGAACGCACGGCAGGCACAGGCUCCGGCCCUGCACGGCCUCCUGCACGCCCCUCCCCUCCACCCCUCCUAUUGGCCAGCCCUUCCCCGUUCGGCCAUCUGAUUGGUUUUCACUGCUGCCUAUUAUUGGCGCGCCCUUCAUCCGGGCGCGUGGAGGCGUGACGUCACUCGACACGACGCGCCGCGCGGUGGAUGGGGGUGAGCGUCACGUGACCCGGGGCCGCGGCGGUGCGGGGCUGAGGGGAACCAUGGCUGCCCCUCUGUCCCCCACGGUGGUGCUGGGCGAGGCCUCGGAGAGCGACUCGGAGCCGGAGCCGGGGGGGACCGCAGCCGGGACCCGUGCGGUGGGGCUGAAGGUUCCUGGGGAGGCGUCGGAGACUGAGGAGGAGGAGGAAGAGGACGGCGUGUCCCGAGUGCCACUGCCGGGGGUGUCCCGGGGGGGCACCUCACUGCUGCAGCAGCGGCUGGGGGCGGGAGAGGGGCGGCUGCGGGGUGCGAUGGCUGAGGCGCUGGGACGCGGUUUCAGUGGGGCUGCGCGGCUGCUGGAAGGCCUCGGGGGACCCCUGGGCCAAGCUCAAGCUGGGGCAGCUGCUACCGCACACUGCCUGUGCCUGGUGCGCCGUGAUCUGCGUGCUGUGGCUGCCACCGUAGCCACCGUCACCACCUGCCGCCUGACAUCUGUGGGGUGCUGUGAGAGUGAGGACCCCGGUGGGGCAGUGCUGGCAGCCGUGGGGAGCUCCUGGCUUCGUUGUCGCUGUGUUACUGCCGGUAACCUCCAGCGCUGUGUCCGGUGGACUUGAGGGUUGUGGUUGUCACUGAUGCGUUCUUUAUUGUCGCUGCCUUUCCGGCGCAGUGUCCCCUUGAGUUGAUGCUGCCAUCAGCAGCACUGCUACUGAUCACUCAGUGUCUCAGCAGUGUUCCUGUGUCUCCUGGCCUGUGGGACCUUGGCCUCACAGUAACGCUGUCACCGGAUGGAAGCUCCUGACAAUUGCUUGGUCAGAAUUCUGUGGUUUUUUUGCCUGUUUGGGGGAUCUGUGGGUUGUGGCACUGAUAAAGCCUUUGGAGGACGCAGCUGCAGCAAGGACGUGACUUUCACUAGGUGGGAGGCAGUGUGUUCACCCGUGGCACCGUGCUCCCAGUGGUCAGAGCAAGGUCCCUUUUGUUGCCCCCCAUGUCCCCAAGCUGUGGUUGUGUCUUUUCCUGCCGUAUGAAUGUCCCCGGCACCUGACCACUGUCCCCAAGCUGUGGCUACAUCCUGUCAUCCUGAGUGCCCCUUGGCCAUGUCCUCAGCCUGCUAUUAGCUCUGUGUGCCCCUCUGAGAACUUCAACCAGGAACAGUGAGAAGCACCCAUGACACACAAUGGAGCCAUGUGGGUCUAUCACACUGCAUCCUGCCUGGGCUCUCACCCUCUGUGGGAUACUAGAGAUACACCCUGGGUGCAAGUGGGCUUGUGGCAUCAAAAUGCCUGGGGCGGGCCCAGUGAGGGUCCUGGGGACUCCUGGUGUCUCCAGGAGGGUCCCAGAUGUCCCCAGGGACUGACCUGAGGGGUAGUGGAAAACCAGGAUGAAGGUUCACUUUCCUCAUUCCCCUGUGUUGUGGCAAAGGGAAGAGGUUUAUGAAGGGGCACUGUGGUGUUAGAUUCCUUUCGUAAGGAUUCUAGACCUCAGUUCCCUUCCUGUGUCCAAACCAGAAUGAAAAAUGUAUUAAAAUCCAUCUUUUGAGGAAGAACCUCUGAGUUCAGUGUUUUGAUAUUCUAGAUAAGCUGUUCCAUGAGGAGUGCUGGGUGAUGCUGACUGAUAC
ensembl:lncRNA